rnacentral:lncRNA from 1 species
UUUUUUUUUUUUUUUUUUUUUUUUUUGCUGCCCAUAGCUAUUGUUCUCAGCUUACCUCUUCUGUAAUUCUCUUUCCUACAGAAGUAAUUUGUUUCUUUUACUUUUCAAGAUGGCUUCUAUUUUUUCUGCAUGCAAGUUCCAUAUUUAGUACAGUAUAGGGUGUAUAAGAUACUUUGUUUUUAGACUGAAAAGCUAUGGAAUCUGGUAGAUCCAGUAUAUCACUGGGACAUAUUUAUCUAAGCAGAAACAUGUUACCACAAAGACUUGGAUUUCUUUGCUUUGGAAAGGUUUUCAAUUGCAUCAGUGCUUUAAAAAUCAUCAUUGUGUUAUCAAAAGUGAGAAUGAGUGAUUUGUCAGAAAGAAAAAAAAUGUGUUCCAAGUAGACCUCAGGUGAUUUCCUUAAUCAUACGUUCAUAUUAUGGGCCUUUAAAAAAAAAUAAUCCGAAUGUUUUCACUGAAAACUAUGAAAAUGCAGUUGUAAGCUACUGUGUCAGUUAGGAAUUAGAGGUUCUUAGACCCAUGGUUUAUUCCAUAGCUGUGAGCACACUAAGUCUCCAUUCUAAAAUUUAUUUUGAUUAUAAUUAAGUAGAAGUAGAGCUUUUAACUACUUCACUGCUAGUUUUUGACACCAUCAGCUGUGGUUGAGUUUACCAAGAUCAGAUAAUAGACUACUUUAACAAAAUAUCUUUUUUUUUUGUUUUUCGAGAACUCUAAAAAAUGCAGGUACUUAAAGAUAGUUUAGUCAGUUUUUUCUUCAUUUACACAAAAUUAUAAUUUGGUUUUGGAAAACACCCUGAUUGGUUUUUUUCCUUAGUUUUACACCCCAGAAGAAAAAGUUUAGUCUGUAGAACCAGUUGAUGAGCUGAGUGUGUUUGUAAACAAUCCUACACUCGCAAGAGAAUUAAGAACACAGCCGUCUCAGUUGUGUGAUGGGCUUAGUUUGGGAUCAUGAACUAGACAGGAAAUUGUGGCUCUGUCUUUGCCCAGUUGUCAGCCACCUGCUACCCUUCGAACACAACAGUUUUCACUGAGAAAAUGUAAAUAGUCAGUGCCGGAUAUAUAUGUAAUAAUUGGAAAUACAACUCAGAAUAUACAGGUCACUAAUAGUAACAUCAUAAUUGCAUGAGUAAAUUGACAGAACACUGUGAAUUAACUAUAAUGGAAAAAAUAAAAAUAAAAAAUAAUUACAUGAGAAAAUGAGAUCAAUAUAUUAAUCCUAUAUGCAUGCAGGCAGAGCCAUUUAGAGUUUAUAUUAUAAACAAUGUGAUGAUUUUAUGAAAAUAAUUGCAUCUUGGGCAAACAAAAAUAUAUAUGGUCAUCCCUUGUUAUACAUGGGGGAUUGGUUCCAGGACUGGCCACAGAUUCCAAGAUCUGUGGAUCUGGUCCCUUAGUGUCAUCUCCACAAUGCUUGGUUCUGCAUUCAUGGAUUCAACCAAUCACAGUUUGUGCACUCUUCUAUGUAUUUACUGGAAAAAAACACAUUUGAAUGGACUCAUGUAGUUCAAACCCAUGUUGUUCAAGUGUCAACUGUAUACAUUUGUCACUAUGUUGAUAGACACUCAAACUCAGUAGUAUGGAUUUUUUUAAAUGGAACCCUGAGGAGCGGCCCCAGAAAAGGCAAAAAGACAAAAAAAAAAAUAAAAUAAAAGGAGGUCGAAACCUCAUUUUUAUAAUGUGCACUCAUAUUCAUAGUAGAAAUAUUAUAUAUUGUCUUUUACUCCCUGAUCAUUUACAUAAUAUCUUUACUGAUUUUACUGUGUCUCCCAGAAUGUAGCCAUUGACUUGCCUCUUAAGAUUUAGUUAAUUAGUUACCGCCUCAUUCCAUAGACGUUGAAAAGUUUGAACCCACUUCCCUCACCAUCCCCUGUCAAGAUUUCUUUGAGUUUCCAGGGUUCUUUUGGCCAUUUCGUGUUUUGGCUCCUUUUCCAACAGAAUCUUUAAUCUCAUUUGUAUGUUCCCUUCCAUACCUGUCCCUUUCUCUUCUGUCUGCACAAAUGUGAACAUGAGCCUCACACUCCUUUCCAAGAUUUUUGCAGAAAAAAAAAUCCUUCAGUGCCUUAUGAAUCUAGAGAUUCUGUUGAAAGAAGUUUUAGAAUCCCAGUAAUCCCAGUAAUUUAAAACUUAAACAUCCCUGUUCUUUAGGAUCUUACUGGCCAUCCCUUCUUCACAGACUCUGGGAUUUUGCAAAUUGCUGAUCUCUCUUUCUUUCUUGAAUCUCUGUAAUAUUUUUCAUAGAGAGGUUUAUCUCCACUGUCUCAUUUCUCUCCUGUCUCCCUUGCCCUCAAGUGGCUCAUAAAGAUGUUUACCUAAAUAAAGGCAGUUUCUUCCCCAAGAGACUCUGGGAUCAGCUGUUGCAAUAACACUUAUUUCCCCCACAAUAGAUACAUUUGUCAUGCAAAAUAUUGCCAUUCUCAGCCCGUGAGCUAUCAUUUCUCUGUGUUUCUUUAUCUUGGAGCACAUUGGCAGAUUUUUUGUUUCCAGUUACAGCAGGCUUUGAUUACUUUGGCCAUCUGUGCCAAGGCCAGAAGACAUUGGUCCUCACCCAUCCAGUGGCAAGGUAGGAGAGUCACCUUGGAUGCUCCUCAUGCUUUCCCACAUUAUGACACAUAUUCAAUAUGGAUAAGGCAUACUCACAAGAGUAAAUGAAUAAGGGUGUUAUGUGGCCAAAGAUGACUGUCCAAGGGCUCCAGCUGUUCUGUGGGCUCUGGCCACCCAGGCCCCAUCCACCCAACCCAGGACCAACAAGGAGAUCAGUAUGGAAGCAUGCCUUUAAACAGCAUGUGGCCACCAGUUGGGAAGCUCAGAAAUAUGGUAGUCUUACUCAAGCCAGGGAAAAUCAAAGCAGCUCCUUGUCUGUUUGGACCUGAAGUCUUUGUUUGGGACUUCUUAUGAUACUUUAAGGAGGUAUAAUUUCUCUUCUAUAUGAUUAAAUAUAUAUUGCAUUAAAGUAUAUUACCUCCCACUGUGGAACUCUUAAAAAUCCAAAUCCAAAAGCCUACCCUACAGUAACAGUGUUACUGGAUUGUAUUUCAUUAAUUCAUGUUUCCAAAUGUACUCUAUUAAGAUGCAAUCUAAAACUACCUUUAGUGUUUAUUAUUAUUUUAACAUUCUAGUCUUUGCUCCUUUUAAUUAGCUGGAUAAUUUGGAGGGGGGGUUUAGAACAUCUGGGGGAGAAUCACCUUUACACGUGGGUGGUUACUUCCAAAGCUUUUCAAAAGGCAUGGAAUAUGAUCGUUUUUUUUCAUUCAAUCAUUCAUUCAAGAAGUGGUGGCUGAAUGCCUGGUUUGUGCUAAGGAGAGAAAGGAGAAAAGUAUGUCAUAGUUACUUCUUCCAGGAACUAUGGGAACUAGAGUCCAGUGGAGAAACAGUUCUUGGAUACUUGAAACAUUGAUGUUAUGGAUAAAAGAGCUUAUAGUUGAUGACAAGAGUGAAAGAGGAACUCCCCUAAAAGUGUGCUCAGGGUGAGGAAGCUCUGUUAGGGGGUAAGGUUUAAUUUUAGCUGGUUCAUGUAGGAUGAAUUGGAUUUAGAAUAGCUAGAAAUGAGCUAUUCCAUGGAUUCUUGCAGAGUUCAGUUUGGUAUAAGAAAGGGUUUGUUUUCAAAUAAAAUAACUUCAGGAAGAUUGGUAAGCAUUGGAACUAAGAGUUUUUCUAAGUAAAACUGUAUUUAUUUUCAUGAAAGAGAGGGCAAAAUAAAGAAGAAAUGAUCAGUGAUGUUGGCAUAAUUCUUGUGUAAAACGAUCCAGCAUAAUGUAGGCACUAAAUAUUGGCAAAGGAUCAGGUGUUAACUGUUCAGAUGGGUGGUUAUUGUUCUGAUAAUGAAGAAUAAGUGUCUCAAAAUUGUUGCCUACUAAGAGGGCAGAAAUAGGAAUAAUGUGCAUUUUUAAGACCCUGUAAAUAUUUUAUUUGUUCAUAACCAGCACCUUUAUUGAAAGGAAACACUUUUGCUAUUUUGUGACAAUUUAUCUUAUUAGACAUGCAACAAGAUCUGACUGAUGACCAGAAAAGUAAGGGUUGUCCUUCUGUCUUCUCAUCCCACCUCAGAGUGACCCAUUAGAGAUUACUUUUCUUUUUUUCUUCAAGAUUGCUUUAGAGCUUGCAGUAGAAAUGACAUAAAACUGUGAUUUUUGAGUUCCUCUGGGCCAAGCAGCCAGGAGCAGUUUCAAUUUCUAGAAAGAAGCAAGGCUGAAUUCUUGUUGGUUUUUUUUCUUGAGUGUGCUGUUCUGGAAUAAAUUCUUCUCAUGAGUUUUAAAAAUUAGUCUGUAUGUGAAAGUUGCCCAAGAAUUAGAGGAUAGAGGGGCCAGAAGGGGAAAGAAGAAACACAAAACAGCCUAGCUAUUCUACUGUUGUUGUUGUAAUCAAUAGAAUAACUCAACAAUGGCAAAUAUUCUUUGUGCCGAUUGAAAAGAAAUGGACUCUUUUACUAUUGAGCAGGUUAUGCUUGUGUAUGAAGUUUUGCAAUUGAAACUUUAAAUUGUUCACACAAGGACCGGUUAUUCAAUUUAUAAAGCAGUCACUUAGAUAACUUAUCUCAUUCUUUAAAUGUUUUAUACCUACUUACCAGCUAAGCUACCCUGGUGUACAUGGGUAGCUAUACCUCUUCUUUCGCUGCUUGCCUUUCCCCCCACAUCUUCAUGUACUGUGAUCAUCUUUCCAAGCCAAAACAUCUAGAUUUCCUCAUCCUUAUGAAUGGCAUGGCAAUAUUGGAUGGAACAGAAUGGAUGUGUCACAAUUUAUUCAAGGAGUUUCCUUUAACAAAGUGCAGGAAAACUUAUCAGUGCUCAUAAUUAAAUUAGAAUUGGAGAAGGCAUUUACUAUUUGAUUUAUUUAAAGAAUUCCACAAGCCCUAGCAGGGGUGUGUGUGUGUGUGUGUGUGUGUGUGAAUUAGAAAUGGCAUGCAACAUUUUUCAAAUAGAAAAUCCUUUGCUAAAGUUACCCAUAAAGGGCAAAAUACAUUCUGUCUUUACGGAUCCACACACAAGACAAAAGCCUUCUAUGGUCUGCAUAAAGUCUCCUGCAGCUUGGGCUGGCCUCCAUUCUUUUUUUAAGGAGAAAUCUGAUUUUGAUGGUUCCAUUGCCCUUCUUCUCUGUGCGUAUAAGAUUAUGGUGGACUAGGUGGAACCUAACAAAAAGAUAGAAAUGAACUUAUUUGCAGAACAGAAACAGACUCGAAGACUUUGAAAAACUUAUGAUUACCGAAGAGGACAGGUGGGGAGGGGAGGGAGGUAUGGACUAGGGGUUUAGAAUAUUGGAAAUAUUCUAAAAUUAGGUUGUCAUGAUGGUUGUACAACUAUAAAUAUAAUACAAUUCAUUGAAUUAUUAAAAAAUGAAGUAAAAUUAUGGCGGAGCUUUAGCUUCCUAACUGCUCUCCGUAUUCACCGAGGGAUCAGCUCCUUCCCUAUUCUCCUGGAGUUGGCAGGCAUCGUGGGCAUGUUUGGGUGUCCUGAAGAUCUGCACCAGCUCUCUUCUCUUUAAGAUUAAUUUUGCUGCUUUAUUGUAAGUAGAACUGGAACUACUCUUCUGUAAGGUGUGGUGCAGGACUUGGUCCUGUUUUCAGAGAAUCUUCCAUCCUUGCUUUCUUCCCUCAUUUUGAACACACCUUGAUGUUUUGGUCUGCCUGAUUAUAACGAUACUAAAUUAUUUUAUUUUACCUAUGUGGAUCAAAAAUUUCCAGUUCAUUUAUUCACAUCUCUGCAAAUAUUGCUGUAUAAAAGUGACUUGAAGGUUGUUUUUCAUACAACAAAGAACAAUAUCUCAUAUCUUUAAUUUCAGCCCCAAGGUUGAAAUAAAUGCGUUUUAACAAAACAGAUUUAUUGGGAAGUCAAUGCUGAGAAGGAAAUGUGUCUAUUAUCUAUUUAGGAGUUUACUGAAGAUAGUCACUUUUGUAAUUUAGGAAAUAAAGUCUUUCAGAAAUAUACAGAAUUAAUCUUACCUUUUGAGUUGUUAUAGAAGGAGAGAAUUCUUAUUUGUUCAAAAUUCAGGUGAAGUUUAAUACUGUUGCCUAAAGCCCACCGGCUUCAUUUUGUGUGACAUCACCAGGCAGCACAAUGCCACCAUAUGCAUCAUGACUCCCAUUCUUCAAAGAAAAAAAAUUAAAAUGGGUCAGUGGGAAAAGAAAAAUUUAAUGUCUUUUAAAUAGAGGAACUUGAGAAAACUCCAUAGUGCUCACCCACUUGGAGAUAUUUCCACGGAUUGGUAGCUAAGCAUUUAGACUAGAUAGGUUUAUUUCUACAUGUAAAAUGAUAUCUGUACCAAGAAAUAUUUGUGAAAUAGGAAAUCUCUAGAAAAUAAUGAAAAA